rnacentral:rRNA from 1 species
UGGGGAAUAUUGCACAAUGGGGGAAACCCUGAUGCAGCGACGCCGCGUGAAGGAAGAAGUAUUUCGGUAUGUAAACUUCUAUCAGCAGGGAAGAAGAAAGUGACGGUACCUGACUAAGAAGCCCCGGCUAACUACGUGCCAGCAGCCGCGGUAAUACGUAGGGGGCAAGCGUUAUCCGGAUUUACUGGGUGUAAAGGGAGCGUAGGCGGCUGAGCAAGUCAGAAGUGAAAGCCCGCGGCUUAACUGCGGGACUGCUUUUGAAACUGCCCAGCUUGAUUGCCGGAGAGGUAAGUGGAAUUCCUAGUGUAGCGGUGAAAUGCGUAGAUAUUAGGAGGAACACCAGUGGCGAAGGCGGCUUACUGGACGGUCAAUGACGCUGAGGCUCGAAAGCGUGGGGAGCAAACA